CACGUAGGCACCAAGCGUUGUCCGGAUUUAUUGGGCGUAAAGAGCUCGUAGGCGGUUCAGUAAGUCGGGUGUGAAAACUCUGGGCUCAACCCAGAGACGCCACCCGAUACUGCUGUGACUUGAGUACGGUAGGGGAGUGGGGAAUUCCUGGUGUAGCGGUGAAAUGCGCAGAUAUCAGGAGGAACACCAGUGGCGAAGGCGCCACUCUGGGCCGUAACUGACGCUGAGGAGCGAAAGCGUGGGGAGCAAACAGG
rnacentral:rRNA from 2 species